GAUGAACGCUGGCGGCGUGCUUAACACAUGCAAGUCGAACGGAAAGGCCCAAGCUUGCUUGGGUACUCGAGUGGCGAACGGGUGAGUAACACGUGGGUGAUCUGCCCUGCACUUCGGGAUAAGCCUGGGAAACUGGGUCUAAUACUGGAUAGGACCACUUCUUGGAUGUUGUGGUGGAAAGUUUUUUCGGUGUGGGAUGAGCUCGCGGCCUAUCAGCUUGUUGGUGGGGUAAUGGCCUACCAAGGCGUCGACGGGUAGCCGGCCUGAGAGGGUGUACGGCCACAUUGGGACUGAGAUACGGCCCAGACUCCUACGGGAGGCAGCAGUGGGGAAUAUUGCACAAUGGGCGCAAGCCUGAUGCAGCGACGCCGCGUGGGGGAUGACGGCCUUCGGGUUGUAAACUACUUUCGCUAGGGACGAAGCGUUUUGUGACGGUACCUGGAGAAGAAGCACCGGCUAACUACGUG
rnacentral:rRNA from 1 species